rnacentral:lncRNA from 1 species
ACAGCCCACUGCCCUGAGGACUUCUUAAGAGGCUGCUCACACUCUGUGCAGGAGUCAGUCCCAGUCAGGACACAGCAUGGCCAUGAGGGCCCCUGUUCAGCUACUGGGGCUCCUGUUGCUCUACCUUCCAGCUGCACCCAUCAGGGCAUUUGCAUGCUGCUUCCUGGGGAGGACCUUCCUGCAAGGCUGUCAUAAAAGCUCAGCUCUAACCUGCCCUUGACUCACCAGGGCUCCUCAGCUCAGCUUCUCAAGAUGAGGCUCCCUGCUCAGCUCCUGGGGCUGCUGCUGCUCUGGAUCCCUGGUAAGGACAGAGAGGAUGGGGAAGGAGAAAGGAGAAGGGGUGA